AAGUCAGUGUGUAUCAUACAACACUUACAGGACAUCUUAAUUCAGAUUAGAUACAUUUCCAAUGCUCCAGCCAGCUUUAAGUCAUCAGGCAUAAAAUCUUUGUGUAUAGAUAAGGAUAAUAAGGCCUAGAUGAAUUCCUGUAGUCCCAGAGUUAAUCAGGUGCAGAAAAGUCAGGUUAGUGACCAGAAUUGAAGAGAAAAAUCACUUUCCAAGACUUGAGCCCUGGUGAAGUCUCAGCUGCCCUACUAUGUGAGUGAGGUAAGGCUUUGAGGCACUCUGCCUGUAAGGUUUCUCUCAGCAACUGGUCACAUAGAAACCUAACUAACCAGAACCCGUUGAACUGCAUUCCACCUCCCAAACCAUGAAGGCCAGAACAGCUGUUUAGGCAUGUUAAAUGGUAUUUAUUUAUUUACUUUUGCAAAGUUGCAUGAAACAAAGAAAAAGCCAAAAAAAGAUCAAAUGUCUGUGGGACAUAGGAACCUGGAAAUUCCCACUCCUCAUAUCUUCCCUCUGUUUAAACACAGAUGGACUAUGGAAAGCAUUUUAUCAGAAUGUGAUUCAGUUUGGCAAGAAGGUUGAGCUCUUAUGGACUUCGGAAAGUGUGUUGUGUUAGAAAUGUUCCCCAACUUCAUUACAAAUAUUCUGGGCUUUUAUAGGUUUAUUACACUGUACUGUUGACUGCUGGAAACCCAGAAUGGUUUCUGUAUUUUACCCUAAACUCAUUCAGACUUUUCAAGUUGUCAGAGCCGUAACUGAUCUAAAAAUGCACGUAAUAAGUAGAAGUCUAAACUAGACAUUUCUUUUCUCUAAUACUGUUACUAUAUUACUAGAGUCCAAAGGAUUAAAAAUUUAGAGCUAAUGAGGACCUUAAAAAGUCACCUAACAAUGGUUUUUGAACUUUUUUCUUAGGGUAAUGGUACAAAUUUUCAGAUGUGAUCAUACUUGGAACUCACGUAUAAAACAGAUAAUGAAAGAGCUGCUGUGAGUUAAGCAGGGUUGGAGCUGGGGACUGGAGCCACAGCCUGAAGGUCUCUUACUGCUUGAUUCUGGCAGCUAUCCAGGCAGCUCUGUGGAACCUGGGUGUCUGAUUAACACAGAUGAAAACCGCUGACUUAGAUUUAGUCCAACCCCCUUCCUUCAUUUUUUUCUCCUUGCCAGGCUGACGAUAGCCAGAGACUUUACAAUUCUAAAGUAUUUGAGCUUAUGAAAAAUUGUCCAAGCAUGAGUACUAUGGUGAUAGAAGAGUUAGUGGAGAAAACGCAAUGAGAAAGAACCAAAGUAGGUCAGAAUUAUAGCUGAGGAUGGGCGUAGAACAAGUUCAAGCUUGGCUGGCUAGGAGAUUGAUGGACACACACACACAUACACACGCACACACAGACACACAUACAAUCAGACAAGGCAUUCAGUUUGACAGGAAGAUGAGUUAAAUUUUAGCAAAUGAAUAUGAGGUGACAGCCAUGCAAUCACAUGGCAUCAUUUAUUAGCACUAGUUUGUCUUAAAACUUGAACACAGAGAGUCAGGGCCAGCCAAAUGGAAAUUGUCUGCUCAUAGGAGAAGCCCCGGGGCCAUACUCUGAAAGAGGUAGCUUGGCGACAGACAAAUUUUCUAAGAGAGACAGUAUGGGGAGAAGAAAAGGCAAAGGUCCAAGACUCAAAAAAUGAAUGAAUGUUAAAACAUCAGAAGAGCAAGAUAAACGAGUUAAGAAGAUGGCACAGGAGCCGCAGAGAGGUGGAAGAUGGCUUGGAAGAGUGAAAACAGUUUUGCUGAGGACAGAAGAGAUGAGGUGGGGAUGGUCCAUGAAGAUGAAUGACUGCUUCCUAAGACACUGUGGCGAGGAGGCUGUGGAAAGAUGGCAGCAGCAGACUGUGGAGAGAAGUCAAUUCACUGGCAGCUUGGCACUUCCCCAGGUAAUCCAUUCUCAGAGUUUCUGUUCAAUCAAAAACUGUAGCUUCUUUGGUUUAGGAGUUUCCUGAGCCUGUCUCAGGGCAAUAACGCCUUCUGGGUUAACUGGAGACUUCGUCAGAGACAGAUGGGAGCUAACUCCAAAGAGUCAUCAUGAUAACUGCGGUUGUUCAGAUUCUUUAUUUCUGGGCAUCACAUAGAAUUUAGAUUGGGACUCCUUUUCUAUCUAACUGAGGGAUGGGAAUCAUAAUUGCAUAUUUAAUUUUGUCAUUAGAAAUGAUAAUAAACUCAUUGCCAUUAUACCACAUGGUUUAAAAAUAAUCUGUUAGAGCAUUUGUUUCUUGUUGUUCAAUGUAACCAACCUUAUUAAAGACCUUGUAUCAACA
rnacentral:lncRNA from 1 species